GCGCGGCCCACCAUGCAGUCGAGCGGAUGAAGGGAGCUGGCUCCUGGAUUCAGCGGCGGACGGGUGAGUAAUGGCUAGGAAUCUGCCUGGUAGUGGGGGAUAACGACCGGAAACGGGCGCUAAUACCGCAUACGUCCUGAGGGAGAAAGUGGGGGAUCUUCGGACCUCACGCUAUCAGAUGAGCCUAGGUCGGAUUAGCUAGUUGGUGGGGUAAAGGCCUACCAAGGCGACGAUCCGUAACUGGUCUGAGAGGAUGAUCAGUCACACUGGAACUGAGACACGGUCCAGACUCCUACGGGAGGCAGCAGUGGGGAAUAUUGGACAAUGGGCGAAAGCCUGAUCCAGCCAUGCCGCGGGUGUGAAGAAGGUCUUCGGAUUGUAAAGCACUUUAAGUUGGGAGGAAGGGCAGUAAGUUAAUACCUUGCUGUUUUUGACGUUACCAACAGAAUAGGCACCGGCUAACUUCGUGCCAGCAGCCGCGGUAAUACGAAGGGUGCAAGCGUUAAUCGGAAUUACUGGGCGUAAAGCGCGCGUAGGUGGUUCAGCAAGUUGGAUGUGAAAUCCCCGGGCUCAACCUGGGAACUGCAUCCAAAACUACUGAGCUAGAGUACGGUAGAGGGUGGUGGAAUUUCCUGUGUAGCGGUGAAAUGCGUAGAUAUAGGAAGGAACACCAGUGGCUAAGGCGACCACCUGGACUGAUACUGACACUGAGGUGCGAAAGCGUGGGGAGCAAACAGGAUUAGAUACCC
rnacentral:rRNA from 1 species